rnacentral:rRNA from 1 species
GACGAACGCUGGCGGCGUGCUUAACACAUGCAAGUCGAACGGAAAGGCUCCAGCUUGCUGGAGUACUCGAGUGGCGAACGGGUGAGUAACACGUGGGUAAUCUGCCCUGCACUCUGGGAUAAGCCUGGGAAACUGGGUCUAAUACUGGAUAUGACCUUUCUCCUUAUGGGGUUUGGUGGAAAGUUUUUCGGUGUAGGAUGAGCCCGCGGCCUAUCAGCUUGUUGGUGGGGUGAUGGCCUACCAAGGCGACGACGGGUAGCCGGCCUGAGAGGGUGAUCGGCCACCUUGGGACUGAGAUACGGCCCAGACUCCUACGGGAGGCAGCAGUGGGGAAUAUUGCACAAUGGGCGGAAGCCUGAUGCAGCGACGCCGCGUGAGGGAUGACGGCCUUCGGGUUGUAAACCUCUUUCAGCAGGGACGAAGCGUAAGUGACGGUACCUGCAGAAGAAGCACCGGCUAACUAUGUG